UAGAGUUUGAUCAUGGCUCAGGACGAACGCUGGCGGCGUGCCUAAUACAUGCAAGUCGAGCGGAUCUUUGGGAGCUUGCUCCCAAAGNUUAGCGGCGGACGGGUGAGUAACACGUGGGCAACCUGCCUAUGAGACUGGGAUAACUCCGGGAAACCGGGGCUAAUACCGGAUAAUUCUUUUCUACACAUGUAGAAAAGCUGAAAGAUGGUUUCGGCUAUCACUCAUAGAUGGGCCCGCGGCGCAUUAGCUAGUUGGUGAGGUAACGGCUCACCAAGGCGACGAUGCGUAGCCGACCUGAGAGGGUGAUCGGCCACACUGGGACUGAGACACGGCCCAGACUCCUACGGGAGGCAGCAGUAGGGAAUCUUCCGCAAUGGACGAAAGUCUGACGGAGCAACGCCGCGUGAGUGAUGAAGGUUUUCGGAUCGUAAAACUCUGUUGUUAGGGAAGAACAAGUACGCGGAGUAACUGCCUGG
rnacentral:rRNA from 1 species